CAGCUUAGCAACAGUAACGCCAUUUUGCAAGGCUAUAUUUAAGAUGACUGGUUCAGAGAAAGGUUAGAACACUGAGUACACAGCGGCUGCCAAACAAGAUGUGUUUGGUUGAAGGCCUGGCAACAGGAGGACUGCCGUUGAGCACCUGACAAUGAGAAAAGCCCCGGGAGAGGUCCCACACCCUGGUGGGGGGCCGAGUCAGCCGUUAUGUUCCAAGAAGGUAGCUAAGAAACUUGCCCCCGGGCUGAACCCUUGGGGGGCCGAGUCAGCCGUUAUGUUUCAGGAAGGUAGCUAGGAAACUUGCCCCCGGGCUGAACCCUUGCCAUAUUAGAAUCCACCAAUUAUAUCCCUGUAACCAUGCAUCUGCUUCUGUAUGCUUGCUUCUGCUCCCCAAAAUCCUAUAAAAGCCCAUCCUUGGUUCCGUGGUGCGCGCCAGUCCCCCGAGUGACUGAAGCGCCCGCAGGUGCCUGUGCCUGUGUAUCCCGACAAUAAACCAAAUCCUCUUGCUGAUUGCAUCCUGUGGUGUCUCGGUCUGGUCUUUGGAGUUGGAGGGUCUCCAUCCCGAGGGAAAGUUCUCCCUGAGAGCUUUUCAUUUGGUGCAUUGGCCGGGAAAGGAGAUCCUCCACCCAGGGACCACCGACCACCCACUGGGAGGUAAGCCGGCCGGCGUCUGUCUGUCUGUCUGAUUUUGUCUCGUUCUGCCUUAUUCUGUCUGUUCUGUGAGCGCUCAGCCAAGUCUGUUCUGUGAGCGCUCAGCCAGGUCUGUUCUGUGAGCGCUCAGCCAGGUCUGUUCUGUGAGUGCUCAGCCAGGUUCUGUGAGCGCUCAGCCAGGUCUGUUCUGUGAGCGCUCAGCCAGGUUGUUUGGAAUUUGGGCGGGACGAAGAAGGAGCUGACGAGCUCGGACUUCUCGCCCCGCAGCCCUGGAAGACGUUCCAAGGGUGUUAGGGGCCCGACUUUUCGGGGCCCAAUCUGGGAGAGGAGAAAGAUCCGGACUAACGGCACCUCUGUCUGUAUUUUUGGCUUUCAGAGGGCCCCGGACCUUUGCCACCUCCAUCUGACUUUUUGCUUUCAGUUUGGUACCAAAGCCGUGCAGCACGCCUGUCUGUUGUUUGUUUGACUGUUGGUGUUGUUUGUUUUCUCUGUGUUCUAAUCUUCCUUAGAACUAACAUGGGACAGUCCCUAACAACGCCCCUAAGUCUCACUCUUGAUCAUUAGAAAGACGUCCACGACCGGGCACACAACCAGUCCGUCGAGGUUAAAAAAAAAAAAGGAAAAGGGCAGACUCUCUACACAUCCGAGUGGCCCACUUUCGGAACAGGAUGGCCAGUGAAUGGCACAUUUAAUAAGAUCAUUAUUUUACAGGUUAAAGAACGGGUCGUCCACGGACAUCCUGACCAGGUUUCUUAUAUUAUCACUUGAGAGAGUCUCGCCUUAAACCCCCCCCCCGGGCGGAACCCUUCCUGGACCCGAAUUGGCCUCCCCUCAACCCCCAGCCUGUCCCCUCGGCCCCGCCCGGUCCGCCGGCCACGUCUUUCUCUCUCUACCUUUGUGAACUAAGAAACCUGUCCUCCCGGCAGACCCAAACUCCCCUCUCAUAAAUCUUCUCUCUGACAGGCCCGGCUAAAACGGAGGAGGCAGAGCCGCCGGCCAGAUCAGUUGCCGGGCCACAGUCUGAUAAGGGUUUCUCCCCUGUCGCAGGGAGAUUGCGCAAUAAGCGCGAGGUGAUGCCAGAUUCAACCUCCCAGGCUUUCCCACUUAGACAGGGAACCGGUGGCCAGACCCAAUACUGGCCGUUUUCAGCAGCUGACAUUUACAAUUGGAAACAACACAACCCUUCUUUCUCCAAAGAUCCGGUGGCACUCACCGACCUAAUAGAAUCUGUUUUACUUACCCACCAGCCUACUUGGGAUGACUGCCAACAGCUCUUACAGGCCCUCUUAACCUCAGAAAAAAAAAACAAGGAGUGUUCCUAGAGGCCAGAAAGCAUGUUCUGGGAGAUGAUGGGCGUCCCACCCAGCUGCCUGAGGACCAAACUGGGAUUUUAAUACAGCUGAAGCUUCAGGACAACUCAGCGACCGGACAGCCUGGGUACAAAGAGCUACUGGUGAGAAACAAUACCGAUGGACUACGGACCGCCGGGUUCAGCUGGCUACUGGUAAGGUGACCCAUUCCUUCUUACAUGUUCCAGACUGCCUGUACCCUCUGCUGGGCCGUGACCUGCUCACCAAACUAAAAGCACAAAUUCAUUUUGAGGAAGGAGGGGCCCAAAUAACUGGCCCCCACGGAACUCCCCUUCAAGUUCUAACCCUAUGAACCGGGACAGGACACUGGCUUGGACAGAGACUGGUGGGAUGGGGUUGGCGCUCCAACAGCCCCCCUUAAUUACAACUCCAGUCUCCAUAAAACAAUACCCCCUGUCACAUGAAGCUUAUCAAGGUAUAAGGCCUCACAUUCUGAGGCUUCUGGAUCAAGGCAUCCUAGUCCCCUGCCGGUCGCCUUAGAAUACGCCUCUUCUGCCUGUUAAGAAACCCGGCACUGGAGAUUAUAGGCCAGUACAAGACUUGAGAAAGGUCAACAAGAGGAUAGAAGAUAUUCAUCCGACUGUUCCAAACCCUUACAAUUUGCUCAGUAACUGUUCAUCGAUGAGAAACAGGGGUAUGCUAAAGGGGUCCUAACACAAAGGUUGGGACCCUGGAAACGCCCUGUGGCCUACCUGUCUAAGAAAUUGGACCCUGUGGCCUCCGGCUGGCCACCGUGCCUAAGGAUGGUGGCUGCUAUUGUUGUCCUGAUCAAGGAAAUCUUGCCCUUAAACCAACCCACGCCCCCACCAGUGGGACUCCAAACCCUUAAAAUUGACUUUGGGACAGCCACUCACCAUCCUAACACCCCACGCAGUGGAGGCCUUGGUAAAACAGCCCCCAGACCGCUGGCUCUCUAAUUCCCACAUGACCCACUACCAAGCCUUGUUACUGGAUGCAGAACGGGUUCAGUUUGGGCCCGUAGUCGCCCUCAAUCCUGCCACCUUGCUUCCUCUACCAGAGGAGACAGAACAGCAUGACUGACUACAAAUCCUCGCAGAAGUACAUAGAACCAGGCCGGACCUAUCGGACCAGCCUCUUCAGAAUGCUGACCACACAUGGUACACAGAUGGCAGCAGCUUCUUGGCAGAGGGAGAACAAAAGGCUGGAGCUGCGGUCACUACGGAGGACAAAGUGAUUUGGGCGAAAGCCCUGCCUGCUGGUACCUCCGCACAACGGGCUGAACUCAUCGCCUUGACUCAGGCGUUCAAGAUGACAAAAGGUAAGAGGCUAAAUAUAUAUACAGACAGCCGUUAUGCCUUUGCCACGGCACACAUCCACGGGGAGAUCUACCGGAGGCGGGGGCUGCUCACAUCUAAAGAUAAAGAUAUUAAAAAUAAGGCUAAAAUUCUGGCCCUCUUAGAAGCCCUAUUCUUGCCCAAAAGACUAAAUAUUAUGUAUUGUCCAGGACACCAGAAAGGACACAACCCAGAGGCACAAAGAAACCGGCUGGCCGAUGCCACGGCAUGAAAAGCGGCCAUGAGCAAACAAAUCUUGCCCUUAAAUAGCCCAGACCAACCCACGCCCCCACCAGUGGGACAAACCAGUUGGGUUUAUGCCCAUGAGGACAUAGAGCUCCUAGAAAAAAUGGGGGCCAUCUACCACCCUCAACUAAAACAGUGGGUCUACAAAGGACUUUUGAAUUGAUCUCCUUUUUACAUAAAUUAACCCAUUUGGGGUUUAAAAAGAUAAAAACCUUACUAGAUCGAGAAGAGAUAAAUCUGUGUUUUUUGAAUCGGGACAAAGCGAUACAAAAGGUGACUGAGAGUUACAAAGUGUGCGCUCAGGUUAACCCGGGAAGGACCAGGAUUGGACAAGGAGUUCGUCCUAGGGGACACCGUCCCGACAUCCAUUGAGAAAUUGAUUUUACUGAAAUUAAACCAGGUAUAUAUAGAUACAAGUAUCUCCUAGUGUUUGUAGACACCUUCUCAGGAUGGGUCGAAGCCUUCCCCACAAAACACGAGACUACAAAAAUGGUCACCAAGAAGCUCCUUGAGGAAAUCUUUCCCAGGUAUGGCAUGCCUCAAGCGUUGGGGUCGGACAACGGGCCCGCUUUCGUCUCCCAAGUAAGUCAGUUGGUGGCCAAAUUGCUGGGGAUUGAUUAGAAAUUACAUUGUGCCUAUAGACCCCAGAGUUCAGGUCAGGUAGAACACAUAAAUAGAACAAUUAAGAAGACUUUAUCCAAACUUACGCUUGCAACUGGCUCAAAGGAUUGGGUGGCCCUCCUUCCCCUAGUUCUAUAUCGGGCCCGGAAUACCCCGGGCCCCCAUGGUCUAACUCCUUUUGAAAUAAUAUAUGGAACACCACCCCCAUUUGUCCAUUUCUUUGAUUCAAACAUUGCUGAUUUUGCUGACAGCCCUUCUCUGAGGGCCCAUUUACAGGCCCUACAGAUUGUGCAGAGAGACGUCUGGAGACCUUUGGCCGCUGCUUACCAGGAUAAGCUUGAGCAUCCGGUGGUGCCACACCCGUUCCAGAUUGGAGACACCGUGUGGGUACACAGACACCAGACCAAGAAUCUCGAGCCACGGUGAAAAGGACCCUACACCGUCCUCCUGACUACCCCGACCGCCCUAAAGGUAGACAGAGUCUCGGCUUAGAUCCACACACCACACGUCAAGGCAGUCCGGUCUGAGGAAUUGACUAAUAACAACACUACACCCCAGACAUGGAGAGUUCAGCGCACUCCAAACCCCUUAAAGUUAAAACUCCUACGUGGCUCCUCCUAGCCCCUUUGUGGCCUAGAGUCAGUGGGGAAAUAAGCCCCCACCAGACAGAAAUUUCUUGACCAAGUCGAGUGAAAGAUUUCACUCAAAGUUAACAAAAAAAAAAUGGGGGAAUGAAAGACCCCAGCUUAGCAACAGUAACGCCAUUUUGCAAGGCUAUAUUUAAGAUGACUGGUUCAGAGAAAGGUUAGAACACUGAGUACACAGCGGCUGCCAAACAAGAUGUGUUUGGUUGAAGGCCUGGCAACAGGAGGACUGCCGUUGAGCACCUGACAAUGAGAAAAGCCCCGGGAGAGGUCCCACACCCUGGUGGGGGGCCGAGUCAGCCGUUAUGUUCCAAGAAGGUAGCUAAGAAACUUGCCCCCGGGCUGAACCCUUGGGGGGCCGAGUCAGCCGUUAUGUUUCAGGAAGGUAGCUAGGAAACUUGCCCCCGGGCUGAACCCUUGCCAUAUUAGAAUCCACCAAUUAUAUCCCUGUAACCAUGCAUCUGCUUCUGUAUGCUUGCUUCUGCUCCCCAAAAUCCUAUAAAAGCCCAUCCUUGGUUCCGUGGUGCGCGCCAGUCCCCCGAGUGACUGAAGCGCCCGCAGGUGCCUGUGCCUGUGUAUCCCGACAAUAAACCAAAUCCUCUUGCUGAUU